rnacentral:tRNA from 1 species
GAACCCGUGGCUCAAUGGUAGAGCGUUUGACACAGUUACCAAAUUUUGCGGGUUCGAAUCCCAUGUGUUCC